GAUGAACGCUGGCGGCGUGCCUAAUACAUGCAAGUCGAGCGAACAGACGAGGAGCUUGCUCCUCUGACGUUAGCGGCGGACGGGUGAGUAACACGUGGAUAACCUACCUAUAAGACUGGGAUAACUUCGGGAAACCGGAGCUAAUACCGGAUAAUAUAUUGAACCGCAUGGUUCAAUAGUGAAAGACGGUUUUGCUGUCACUUAUAGAUGGAUCCGCGCCGCAUUAGCUAGUUGGUAAGGUAACGGCUUACCAAGGCAACGAUGCGUAGCCGACCUGAGAGGGUGAUCGGCCACACUGGAGCUGAGACACGGUCCAGACUCCUACGGGAGGCAGCAGUAGGGAAUCUUCCGCAAUGGGCGAAAGCCUGACGGAGCAACGCCGCGUGAGUGAUGAAGGUCUUCGGAUCGUAAAACUCUGUUAUUAGGGAAGAACAAAUGUGUAAGUAACUGUGCACGUCUUGACGGUACCUAAUCAGAAAGCCACGGCUAACUACGUG
rnacentral:rRNA from 1 species